AUGGAAACCUUGUUCUACAUGUGCCUGCUGCAGGUGUUGUGCCUUCUUCUCUUGCAAGAAGCACAGGCGGCGCGCCAUGGUGGGAUCUCAUUGAGGUCUCAACACAUGGCCCUCCUCCACUGGAAAGCUACAAUUCCAAGUCCACCGCUGCAGAUGAGCUCUUGGAAGGAAAACACCAGCCCCUGCAACUGGACGGGCAUCAUGUGCACGGCUGUUCACCAUGGACACCGCAUGCCCUGGGUGGUGACCAACAUCUCCCUGCCAGAUGCUGGCAUCCGUGCCCAGCUUGGUGAGCUCAACUUCUCGGCUCUUCCAUUCCUCACACAUAUUGAUCUCCAUAACAACAGUCUCCAGGGUGAACUACCCACUAGUAUCAGUUCCCCGUCAGCACUUUCAGGACUUGACCUUACCUACAACCAGCUCACAGGGAAAAUUCCUUAUGAGAUUGGUAGCCUGCAAAGUCUCAAGGUGCUUAGCCUCUCAUUUAACAAAUUCACAGGACAUAUCCCCGUGUCUCUGGGUAACCUAACAAUAUUAACCGAUCUUGUCAUCCACCAAAACAUGCUAUCAGGUCCUAUUCCUGAGGAGAUUGGAAGGCUUGUUAACCUAGAACUUCUACAGCUAAGCAACAACACCUUAAGAGGCACAAUACCAAAAUUCUUUGGAAAUCUUACCCAAUUGAAUAUUUUGAACCUGUUUGGUAAUCAACUUUCAGGGCCUAUACCCCAAGAGCUAGGCAUGCUAGUCCAUCUGCAAAGUUUUGAUCUUAGUUCAAAUGAUUUUUCAGGUUCAAUUCCGAUCUCCAUAACCAAUCUCACUAAAAUGAACCGACUUUUUAUCUUUGAAAAUCAAAUCACAGGUCCAAUACCCCCAGAGCUAGGCAACCUUGCUAUGCUAAACGAACUUGCUCUCUACACAAAUCAAAUAACAGGUUCAGUACCCCCAGAACUAGGGAACCUCACUAUGCUCAAUGUACUUGUUCUCUAUGAAAAUCAAAUCACAGGCCCAAUACCUUUAGAAUUGGGCUACUUGCUGAAUCUCCAAAAUUUAGAAUUGGAUAACAACCAAAUAUAUGGCUCUAUUCCUGGCACCUUAGGAAAUAAAACCAAGCUAGUACAACUUACCAUCUCUACAAAUCAGAUAAGCGGGUCCAUCCCCCAGGAAAUUGGCAAUCUGAUGAACCUCGAAUAUUUAGACUUGUCUCAGAACCAAAUUUCAGGAUCAAUACCAAAAACUUUUGGGAACUUGCAAAGCAUCCAAGGAAUACGUAUCUUUGAUAACAAAUUAUCAGGUUCUCUUCCUAAAGAAUUUGGAAAUCUCAUCAGCCUUGUUGAACUUUCGUUGUCUAGCAACUCACUUUCAGGACCUUUACCCACAAAUAUAUGUUCAGGUGGCAAACUUCAAUAUCUCCGUGUCUUUUCUAAUAUGUUCAAUGGAUUUAUUCCAAGCAGUUUAAAGACAUGUACGAGUUUGGUUCGACUUCGCCUUGAGUCGAACCAACUAACAGGAGAUCUGUCUCAGCAUUUUGGUGUCUAUCCACAACUUGUACAGAUGCGGUUAGCAUCGAAUAGACUGUCUGGGCAGAUCUCACCAAAUCUAGGUGCAUGUACCCAGCUAACGGUACUAAAUCUAGCACAAAAUAAGAUCACAGGUUCCAUACCUCCAAUCCUUUCUAAAUUGUCCAACCUAGAAGAACUAACACUCGAUUCUAAUCAUCUGAGUGGUGAGAUUUCACCAGAAAUCUGCACUUUAGCAAACCUAUCUAGCCUGAACUUGUCAUCAAACCAAUUAUCUGGAUCCAUACCUACACACAUAAAAAAGCUACGCAAUCUUGCAUACCUUGAUAUAUCUGGGAACAGACUGAGUGGAUUGAUACCUGAGGAACUAGGGGCGUGCACAAAACUGCUAUCCUUGAAGAUCAACAACAACAACUUCAGUGGAAGUUUGCCCGGUGCCAUUGGAAACUUAGCAGGCUUGCAGAUCAUGUUAGAUGUGAGCAACAAUAGCCUCGGUGGUGUGUUGCCGCAGCAACUUGGAAAGUUGCAAAUGCUAGAAUUUCUGAAUUUAUCACAUAAUCAGUUCAGUGGCAGUAUUCCAUCCUCCUUUGCAAGCAUGGUGAGCCUUUCAACACUCGAUGUAUCCUACAACGACUUGGAAGGACCGGUCCCAACAACACGCCUACUCCAAAAUGCUUCAGCAAGUUGCUUUCUUUCCAAUAAAGGUCUGUGUGGUAACAUCUCUGGCCUGCCACCUUGUAAUUCAACCGCAGUAGCUGCUCACCAAAAAGGGAAGAUACUUGGUUUGUUUUUGCCACUUAUUCUUGUGCUUGGUUUUGGAACUGUUGUUGCGGCUGCUGUCAUAAUAAUACUUACUCAUAAGAAGAGAAAACCACAAGAAAGUAUUACUGCUCAAGCAAGGGACCUAUUCUCGGUUUGGAAUUUUGAUGGAAGAUUGGCAUUUGACGAUAUUGUAAGGGCAACGGAAGACUUCAAUGAUAAGUACAUCAUUGGAAGAGGAGGGUAUGGCAAAGUCUACAAGGCACAACUUCAAGACGGGCAGCUAGUUGCUGUGAAGAAGCUUCAUCAGACCGAAGAGGAGUUGGAUGACGAAAGAAGAUUUUGCAGUGAAAUGGAAAUCUUAUCACAAAUCAGACAACGAAGCAUUGUCAAAAUGUAUGGAUUCUGCUCCCAUCCAACAUAUAAAUUUCUUGUCUACGACUACAUUCAGCAGGGCAGCCUCCACAUGACAUUGGAAAAUCAAGAGCUAGCAAAGGAAUUAGAUUGGAAGAAGGGAAUUGCUCUUGCAACUGAUGUAGCUCAAGCAAUAUCUUAUUUGCACCACGAAUGCAGUCCGCCUAUAAUCCAUCGAGAUAUCACGAGCAACAACAUCUUACUUGAUACAACCUUCAAGGCUUUUGUCUCGGAUUUCGGCACGGCAAGGGUUCUUAGGCCUGAUUCAUCAAACUGGAGUGCACUAGCAGGAACGUAUGGCUACAUAGCUCCUGAGCUAUUAUACACAUCUGUUGUGACAGAGAAAUGUGACGUCUAUAGCUUUGGCGUGGUUGUGUUGGAGCUAGUCAUGGGGAAGCAUCCAAUGGAUCUAUUGGACGGUAGUUUACCAAGCGAGGAACAAACUAUAUUGGUGAAUGAUAUUCUGGACCAACGGCCGACAACACCAACAACAAUGGAAGAGAAUAGCUUAGCUCUGCUCAUCAAGCUGGCCUUCUCUUGCUUGGAAUCUUCUCCACAAGCAAGGCCAACCAUGCGGGAGGCAUACCACACACUCAUCCAGCGACCCUCUUCUAAUCCAUAUCCCGUGCCUUUCAGCGCACUUGCAUUAUGGCAAGUAAUGAAUGCGUGCUGA
rnacentral:rRNA from 1 species